rnacentral:rRNA from 1 species
UGGGGAAUAUUGGACAAUGGGCGCAAGCCUGAUCCAGCAAUGCCGCGUGUGUGAAGAAGGCCUUCGGGUUGUAAAGCACUUUUAUCAGGAGCGAAACGCUGUCGGCUAAUACCCGGCGGAACUGACGGUACCUGAGGAAUAAGCACCGGCUAACUUCGUGCCAGCAGCCGCGGUAAUACGAAGGGUGCAAGCGUUAAUCGGAAUUACUGGGCGUAAAGCGUGCGUAGGCGGUUUCUUAAGUCUGCUGUGAAAUCCCCGGGCUCAACCUGGGAAUGGCAGUGGAUACUGGGAGGGCUAGAGUGUGUCAGAGGGUGGUGGAAUUCCCGGUGUAGCGGUGAAAUGCGUAGAGAUCGGGAGGAACAUCAGUGGCGAAGGCGGCCACCUGGGACAACACUGACGCUGAGGCACGAAAGCGUGGGGAGCAAACAGGAUUAGAUACCCUGGUAGUCCACG